rnacentral:lncRNA from 10 species
GAGCUGCAUGGAUUUGGAGUCUUAUCCUCACUAGAAGAGAGGAAUGCACCCAAUGGAAAAGAGGAGAGCAACCAAAGUCUAAGCUAAGAGCAUAGUUUCAUAAAGUAUUUCCUCUGGCAUUCAUAGUUUUUGUGGACACACCUGAUACCUGAAAAAAACAAUCUGAAUAUCCAAAACAUCAUUCACUGUUAAAUCCAGGAAACAUCCUUGGAUUUGGAAAUUAUGGAAGGAGAAAUUAUUAUUGGAACUGUACUGAACCUUUAGCUCAAU